rnacentral:lncRNA from 1 species
AAACAGCAGGAGGAUAUGAACUUGGAAAGAUUCAGCUUUCAUGACAGCCUUGCCACUUGAAAACAGACAUAGAAAAAUAGAGACAAUAUCACGAGCAAGCAAAGGCAAAGGUUGGCAUACAUGUCAAGAGAAUGUUCUCCAGCUGGGGCCUGCAGUACAGAGAAUUGUAUAUACCAGAGGGCUCCUGGGACCCUAGGCAGAUUAUUAUGGUAAUAUUGGAGGCUGCUGUCCUCUCCCUCCCACAGCUGGGCCGCCUCUCUCAUUGUAAGUAUUGAAGCAAUAUGUUUUGCAAAUUAUACGUUGGGAACAACAGGGACCCAGUAAAGUGAGGAAAAAGAGAAACAUUGCAAAAUGUUGCCUUUAA